AGCAGGUCUAAAUUGGAGUUAUAUGAAUAUUGAAUAUUAUGGCAUAAUCUCUCUGUUAUCUGGAAGUUAAUUCUUUUGUUUUACAAUUUUUGUAGCCUUGUGAUACUUUUUACCAUUAAUGACUUCUUCAUUGUUGCAGGUAAUUGAUGAAUUUGAUCAGGAUGUGCAUUAUGUUGAGAUUGACAUUGAGGAAGAUCCAGAAAUUGCUGAAGCAGCAGGAAUUAUGGGAACACCUUGUGUACAGUUUUUCAAAAAUAAAGAAAUGAUAAGGACGGUCCCUGGCGUGAAAAUGAAGAAGGAAUAUAAAGAAUUUAUAGAAGCAAAUAAAUGAGAUUGCUGGCAGGCACGGGUUCAUUUCCAAUUAUUUGUGACUUAGGAGAGUUUGUUUGUCUCAAUUCAGUUUGCUUCUUGUUCCAAGCUACCAUUUUUUUAUUGGAUUUAGUUUCUAAACCAGUUAUUCUUUUUCUUUUGCAAUGCUAGUUAAAAUCUCUGAAAUUGUAAACCUUUUGUUUUUAUCCUUCAUAAACAGCUUUUUUCGACCCCCUUAUAAAGCUAGUUCGGAGUACUUUCUG